CACAAAUGAAAUAUGAAGGCCCUUCAAACCGGCUGGAUUAUUUUUCUUCACCCUUGUCUUUUGCGCACUUGUUGUUUCCUGGGCGGGUUCGCUCGCCACCAGGACCACACCAUAAACCUUUUUGUUAAUGCAAUCAGCGUCAGUAAAAAGUAUAAUUAUUUUA
rnacentral:misc_RNA from 1 species